CGUUACACCUUGUUUAUCCCAAUGUGAACUAUUGAACUCUCUGCAAGUCAUUUGUUACAUUUGUUUCUCCCGAUGUACUGAAUAAAAGGUGUGGUAAGCUGGGGGCUUUUGUCUUUGCUGCGCAGAGCAGCACUGAUCAGACCCAAAGCUCAGCUUCUUCUCAGUCUCAUUUUUCUACCUUUCCUGUCAUUUGCCGUGUGCUGCCGUGGCUCGCAGGAGACCAGGACUCACUGCAGAGGUUCUGUUCAUAGUCCUUCAUGCGGAAAAUCUGGAGUUAGGAAAUUUAUUGUCCAAAGUCCAACUGAACAGUGGAUUCUAUGGAGAGCGAACAAAAAAUCGAAAUGCACCAUCAUCAACCAAAAUGAGCUCUGCAUCAAAUGAUGAACACAACUGGAGCCAUCUUUCCUACAUCAACAUGAACAUGGCCAUCUUUUGCAGAAUCGUGGAAUAAAUUAAGUUCAUGAACUGAGGAACAACUAAACCUUCUCAAGGGUAUAUUGCCUGGCCUCCAAAGCCUCAAUCUAAAAUCUGGAUCGUAGCCUACACGACCCUGCAACUUGCACCAUGUGGAUGACAAUAAUGUCUUCCACCAGGUCAAAUAAUAACUAGGAUCCCUUGGACCAUGGCUCUGAUGGCCUCUAACCACCCUGAUGAAAUGAAUCCUGGGCAGCUAAUUUCCUAACAGGUCCUUAUUUAGCAGGCAUCCCAGGAACAUUUUAUUCUCAAAUGAAGAGUUUGCAGUUUUACACCUGGAGGCAACCACAGUCAUAGCAAGCAUCCCACCUCUCUAGCAAUAAUUAUCCACAUCAGUCACCUUCCCAUUUUCUUGGGUAAAGUACCUUACACCAAGAAGUCAAAGGUAGAGAGGCUUAUUUUGGCUCACAUGUCAAUCAACCAUGCCUUGGCUGGUUGGCUUCAAGGCAGAAGCAGCAUGGCAGAGGGCCAUGGUGGAGGAAAAGUGCUGAACCUGUGGCAGCCAGGAAACAGAGAGAGACAGGAGGACCCAGGAGGAAGAACAUACCCUUCUAGGUCACAACCCAAUAAAUUUCCAUCCCUGAUGAGGCCCUACCACUGAACAAAAGACCUGGGGGGACAUUUAUAUCUGAAGUGCAACACAAUUCUUUUUUAUGGUGAAUAUUUAAAUUUUCUUUUUAAAAAAUAUUCUUCCUCAUCUCUCCCCCUUCUCUUUCUCCUCCUCUAGUUCUCCUUUCCCCAUUUUCAUUCUUAUUGAUAUUAUUAGUCUUAGCACAUGUUUAUGGCAUAUAAUGUUUACAUUCAUUGAGGUUAUUAGGUUUCUGGUCUCUUAGCCCCCUUCCCAUUUGCAAGAGAUUCACUCCCUUGUCUCCUAUCCAUCCCCUGUUGAUCUCUUUUUUGUAUCUUGCCUUACUCAAAUGAAUUUAAAACAUCAUACUACAGCUAUACAUGAUAUCAAUGUUGAUAGCAGCACAAUUCAUGACACCUAAAUCCUGGAAGAACCCUGUAUAUUCAUCAACAGACAAUUGAAUAAAGAAAAUGUGAUACAUGUGUGUGUGUGUGUGUGUGUGUGUGUGUGUGUGUAAUAUAUUUGAAACAUUUGUAAGAAAUGGAUGUACCUGGAAAAUAAAAUGUUGAGUGAAGUAAAAUAGAUAUACAGGUUUAAAUAUUAUGUAGUAUGUCUCACGAUCCUUUACAUGAGAUGUGUUUAUUUGGAGCUUACAGCCCUGACAAUAUAAUCACAUCCUGAGGGUGAGGAAUUGAGCCUGGAGCAGUAGUUGGCAUGACAGUUUCCUGUCAGACAAUGUAGACUAUGUAGACUAUGACUACAUGUGAUGAUUAGCACAAAUGUGUCCUGAAUCCUUAGUAGUGUGCUCAGUAGGCCAAUUCUAUGGUUUUUGGGGGGGAAACCAUUACAUUUCAGGCCUAGAUCCUCCUUGUAUAACCUUGCAAUCAUUCUGUAAAUAUCUUGACUCUGUUUAAAUCCACUAAUGUUUAAACUAAUUAAAUCCUUAUUAUUAAUGUUUAUGGUUUAUAAUUCUGAACUAUUUCUUAUAGAUAAUGAGAGACAAAUAUGAGACCCCAACAUAGUUAAUAUGUAUAAUAUAAACAUUUAUGAAACCAUUUCUCAAAUCAGGGAGCUUUGAGCACUUACAUCACUGUGGUCAACAGCAGAGUCCACAUGGGAAUUAAAAAAAUAGUUUUUUAAAACUUUAGUAUAAUUCUGAAAUGAUAUCUAAGCUAUAAAACAUUGCCAAAUAGAAAAUUAUAAUUUUGUUUUUUAAAAAAAUGUGUCCCACAACUUAUUAGUCUUGCUGUUAGUUCAUGUACUAGGAACAUGUAUUUAAACCAAAUGGAAUUCUCAUGAUGGAAUUUCUUACAUCUCUGAAAAGCUGUGAUGCAUGUGACUCCUCAAGGAGGAGAUGUAGCAAGCUGCUUUCCAAAGAAACUUGUUGACUUCUUAAGGUUUUUGUAUUUUUGUCCUCCUCCUCCUCCUCCUCCUCCUCCUCCUCCUUCUUCUUCUUCUUCCUCGUCUCCUCCUCCUCCCCUUCCUCCUCCUCCUUCUCCUUUUUGUCUAUGUGUCUUUGUGGUAUCUAUGGGGGACUAGCAUCUUACAGAUAGAUUGCAGAAACAAGGUGUAGUGAGUUAUUAAGUCAUGAAAACUUUAACAGGAGUUGUAAUUUCUAAAGUAAAAGAACAUUAAACCAGUAGUCAAGCUCAUCAUGUGACCCUGUACCUCCUCUCUACUUUCCUAAGUUCUGAACUUUAAAAUAUUGGGCCAGAUGAACUCUGUGUUGCCUUCAGAUUCUAAUGUCCAAAAAUUGUCAGAAAGGCUCAGAAUAUUUCCAAACCAACCUGAAGGGGUAGCAUUCUGGAACAAUUGCUCUUUUCACUUGAUUUUUCUUAUCACUGUAUUUGAUGGUACAUCACUGUUCUGUCUCUUCUCAGAAAAAUUUCUGUGAAAUAAAGGAGUGGUGAUAGGAGACAAGGAGGUAGACUUUUUGGAGAUAGGAAUGGAGAUCUGGGGAACAAGGAAGAGAGGAGAGUGUGAGGAAGGGAAUAAAAAGUGAUCAAGAUAAAAUGAAUAUAAUUAUUAUGUAUUACAAACAUAUACUAAUAAAAAAGAAGCAAACAAUAUUAUUGGUGCCUAAUCUGCUGCAACUCCUUCAGAGAAUUCCAACCAUCUCAUAUUUAAUAUGUAGCUCCACAAUGAAUUAAUCUGGUGAAGGGAGGCAGGUUUUCAAAGAAUCACAGGGCUAUUGUUAAUAUCUUGUUAUUUUUGCCUGUCCUCUUUUCCUACCACUUAUUGCCUUCCUCCUCUUUUUCCUCUCUAUUGACUUCUCUCUUUCAGUGAUCUCUCACUUCCAGUCAGGUUGCUUUAACCUUAGGAAGUGCCUUAAACCUCACUGUAUACACAAUGUCUUGCACUAUGAACGCUACUUGAAGACAAGGUUUAUUUUGGUUACUGCUGUACAUUAUAAGAUCCAUUUUCCAUAAACUCAGUUGAACAGAAGGCUCAGAUACAGAGCCCAAUCUAGCAGGGUCUGGAGAUUUAGCUCAGUGGUUCCACCACCUGCCUCACAAGUGCAAAGUUCAGAGUUCAAUCCCCAGUUCAAAAAAAAAUAUGCAAGGGGACUGGUAAAAGUCUACCACUAGUGGGCAGAUCUGAUAAUCUCCAUAGUUGACUCACUUUUAUUAGACAGCAAGAAGCAUAGGAGGAAGGAGAUGUGUCUCAUUCAUGGAAUAAUAAUGGUUGAAAAGAUAUUUUGAAAAAUAGGGAACAGAUUAAACUUUUACAAGGGGAGUAUGUGAAAGGGAACAGGUUCUUCCCUACCCUAUGCCUGCCCAAGGUAAUAAGGAACUAGCACUCUUUACAUUGUCCUCAGCAGAUGUCAUCCUGCUAUAGGAGCACUGAGGUUACGAGCAUUCCCCCUACACAGAAAGUAUGAAGCUUUCCACCUCCUUUUCUGUUUCCCAAGGCAGCUCACAUCAGCCUUGGGGCUGUGGGUGCAAUCACACAAUCUGGCCCCAGAAAUUUCUCACAUGCCCUGGUUCUGAACACCUUGUACAGUAUAUAUCAUAUGAUUCCUUUAUAAACUAUAUGAUGCAAUAAACGUGGAUAAUUAACUAUUAUGUAUAAUCAUAUAUAUAUAGUAGAUAAUCCUCCCCACAUGGAUGCAUGUCUGCACAUUUGUAUAUAUUUGUAUACAUGUGUGUGCAUAUGUAUAUAUUUUUCCUCUUUCUAACCCCCAAGUAUAUCAAAUUGAACUAAAUCUUAAUGUAAAAAUAGCACAAUUCCGAUCUGAAUUUCCUCUUCCUAGAAGAUAGAGCUAAACUUCAGAGCUUUGCUUAGAAUUUUUCUAAAUUAGAGUUGUGUAUGAGAAAGAUAAGAUGAUGAGAGAAAUUUUAACCACAGAGAAAGGAACUUAUAACAAAUUAAUUUUUUCUUUUUGAAAAGUUAUACUGAUUCUCACACAAUUAGUUGAAUGUUUUUCCAAAAGUCAGACCCAAAUAGAGAUCAAAAUAGUCAUUUUCACUUUUUGUUCCUUCAUUGGUAAAGUAAAUGUGAAAUAAUUUAUAAACUGUUUAAAUACUACUAAAAUCGAUAAUGAUAAUAAUAACACUCAUAGUCCUUUCACUUAGCUCAAGAGAAAAAUAUACUUGAUAUUUUUGAAAUUCCUCAUAUCUGUUUCUGCAGUUAUACUCCACUCCCAGACCCCAAAGUUAACCACUAAGCUAAAUUUGAUAUUGGUCAUUCCUCUUCUUUCUAUUAUAGUUUUCCCAACUGUGCAUGCAGCUACAUGAAAUUUAUGUUAAAGUUUGCUUCACUUUAACCUGAAUAUAAAUGGAAUCUUACUCUAAUCUUUUUUUUCUAUGGCUCUCCUCUUUCUUUCAAUAUUGGACUUUUGAGAUUUAUUCAUGUUGAUGUGUAUAGCUGAAAUCCUUUAUUUUCUCUGCUAUUUAAUAUUUUAUUAUAUGAAUGCCCAUAUUUGUUCGUAUAUUCUAUUCUACAUGAACAUUCGGAUUGAAGGGAGUUUUCCAUUGUGUUUUAUUGUUCCAUUUUUUCUGCUAAGAAUUCUCAGUCAUCUGUCUUUCUAUGUACCAAAUACACAGAACCCAAGGUCAUGCCCUUGGAAACAGGAUCCCUAUUCAAAGUACCCCACACCCAAAGUUAAAGGAAGAAAGGUUUAUUUAGCUCACAGUCUGUAGAGGUUUCAAACCAUAGUUGGCUGGCUUCAAGGCAGGGUGGCAUGGCAGAGGAGCAUCAUAGAGAGGAAAUAGUCCAUGAGAAGCAGGCAGGGGAGAGCACAUUAGCUUCUUUCUGUCUCAUAUUUUAGGCAGGCUACCUGCCCUAGGGUAGGUGUAGCACUCACACCCUUAAUUCUAGCCAGAAUUAUGCCAAACCAAUCAAUGGACUGAUUUAGUCAUCACACACCCUUGAGCCCAACACUACACACUCUAGAUCCAGCCACCUCUGAAAAGCCCCCACUAUGACUCUAUGAGGCUUUGGGGGACAUCUAAAUACAAGCCAUAACAUACACAGACAAAAACAGCACAUUCUGCUGUGUAUUAAAUAAACACUCACUGAGCAAUGACUGGGAAGACAGACUUACACAAGAUAAAAGACUCCUGUUCUCAAUUACAUUUUAAUGGAGGCCCAUGAGCCAUAAGCAAGCAAAUGAACAAAGAAGUGGUGAUCUGUCCCAUGACAAAAAAGAAAGAUAAUGAUGGACUAGAAGAUGGGAUCCUACUUUUGACUAGGUAAUCAGGGGAGACCCUCAGAGAACAACUUAAUAAAUAGGUAGAACAAUGGGAGUUACCAUUACAGCACUAGUCUAGGGCACUAAGAAGUACAAGCUGACAUUGCUGAGUAAAGAUAUGAUCAAGAGAUACAGUGAAUAUAUAAAUAAAAAUAGAGAAAAUUAUUAUAAUAAAAGACCUAUUGCCAUUAAUCCCCAUCAAAAUAUUAGCCCUCACUUCAAAAACACACAUCAUUCUCACCACCACACUGUGAAGCCAUUCAGGAAGUCCUCUUUUGUGUGUCUUUGGGGGGCUGUCUCAAUGUUAUGAAUUGACUCAAAACAUGGAUGGGACUUUCUGCUAAAUAACAACUUUAUAAUGUGUCCUUCUCAACCUUAUUCACUGGAUCUAGCAUCAAGCAUUUGGCUCUCUUAUAAAGAUAAAAUGAUCAGGAAAGGUGAAAGUUUUGAAUCAAUUCAAGACACAGAGGCAACAAUAAUGGUGCAGUUAGAGACAAGAAAGUAACCAACGUCAGGACUUCAGUUGCAAACCUAGACCAGACCGGGGAGAACCAGUGAUUCCACGUGCUCACCCUCACUGUCCUACGCCCCGAGGACUUUUCCUCUUCUCUUGGGCUCAGUGCAGACUUCCUGUUUCAGUGGAGCGAGAAGCCAAUUAAAAGUCAAUCACAGCUGGGCUGAACUAUGAGCAGCUCACUAGUCCUUGAAUUUCUCUUGUCCCUGCUAUAGCUGCCAGCUUCCUGGGAUCCUGAGUAAAACACUUUGCUAUAAACAUAUAAUGAAUUUGUAAUGAACUAUUGUUUUGUUGUAAGACAUUAAGAACUGAGAGUUGCUCUUGUCAUAUAGCUUAUCUAUCCCAUCACAAGAACAUUUUGAGACAGAACCUCUGAGUUCCUGUAACAACUGUCUUUAGGUUUAACUCUGAUCUUCUUAGGAUCCAGUGUCUCAGUUCUAAAUUAUUUGUUAAUUAUGAACAAUAUUAUGUGACAUAGUAGUGGCAGUCCUAGUAAAUAUUCACAUUUGUUUUUGGUUUUUGAGACAGUGUCUCGCUAUGCAGUUUAGGCAGGCCUUAAGCUCACUAUACAGUCCAGGCUGGCCUUGAAUCUCCCACAACCCUGCCUCAGCCUCCCAGGUGCUGGGAUUGCAAGUGUGUACCACCACUCCUGGUGAUAUUCACACUUUAAAUUUGUGUGCUACUCAUAUUGCCUUCUAUCCUCACAACACCUCUCUGAGGGAAGUAUAAUUCCAUCAUUAUGGCUUAAAAUCAAUAAUAAAAUACAGAUUAAAAUUACCUGGGCCUAAAGAGGUAAAUUUACUGUCCUUGUCUAAUUUGCAAAGAGGAAACAGAAUGAGGAAGUGAUUAAGGGCAUUUGGCUUUGAAAACACACACAUCUGAGUACAAGAAUUGGCUUCUGCCACCUAAUAGCCACUUGCUAUUGGCUAAGCCAUGUAACCUGAGUCUCAAUAUUCACAGCAGCAAAAAUGGAGAUGCUAAGAGUCUGCGUCUGUAUUAUUCAGCUUUCUCAUUGCACCUAUAUAGUAUCUGACACCUCUAACUUAAAGGAGAAGAGGGUUAACUUGACUCUUGGUUUCAGGGAAUUCAGUCCAUGGCCAGCUGGCUCCAUGGGUGAAUAUAAUAGCAUAAGGGGAUGGGGAAGCAAAGCUGCUUAGUUCUUGGUGUCUAGGAAGCAAAACAGAAACAGUGUCAGCCAGGAAACUAGCCAGGGAUCAUACACAAUACUCAAAGUCUUGCUUCCAUGACCCACCCAGAAAUACCCAAUAUCCUCAACAAAUGAUCCCAAACACUUCAUCUUAACAGCCACAGCGUCCUACAAAGUUAAUGUGCUAAGUGAGAUAAUUAAUUAGGUACUUAUUAUUUUAUCCGGCAUAUAGGAAGGUUAUAGUAAAUAUUAAUGUUUAUGAUUUUUUAUAAUCAUCAAUUCUGUGUCAGAACUAUUCAUGUCUUAUUGGGCACUUUGUGCUCAGUUCUGGAUACUACUUUGCAAUAUAUUUAUUUAUAAAUUAGAAUGUCACCAGAAUUUAGUCAGAGCAAUAUUUGAGGACCAUGUCAUUUGCAUGAAGAUCAUCUGAUAUGAAACAAUUGAAAAUAUUUAGUCUGGGAAAUAUAAGCUUCAGAUCAUUAUUUUAUAGUAUUUGAGAGGUAAUCAUAAGAGGAAGGAUUCAUAUGUUACAGAAUUCCAGAGCAACAGCAGUGGAGGUGGGGGGACUUUGUAACAGGCAGAGUCACUUAAAACGCAGCAGACUGCCUGGUGUGAGCUUGUCCAGCUCUUCAUGGCUCACAAAAGCAACUCAUCCCUGGUAACAGUGAGUGUGCACUGAGUUGAGAGGAUGAACUAACUGAUUUCUGUAAUCAGAAUGAGUUUCAAGGUAGAGGCUUGUCAGGAUCCAAGUGAUUCAGAGACUGUAUGGUUUGUACAGAUAGGUAGUCGUCUAUCUGGGAGGAAUUCUAUGGUUCUGGCAUCUAGGUUGUUUUAUGUACAAAUAAGAAUUCAGGGCUUCUUUUAGAGAUUUUCCUAGAAACAAAGAUACAUGGGAAAUUCAGUUUGUUGUAGGCAGUAUAUUUAUUGUAGAGUGUGGAUUACAAAUUAGAUCCUCAAUUUAUUUUUAAUUUAUUUAUUUAAAAUUUUUCUCAGCCCAAUGUGCUUAAGCUUCGCUGGGGCAAAGAUUGUGUCUAAAUUGUUCACUUAUCUGUUCACAAUAUCUAGAAAACUACACGGCCUAUAACAUAUACAUAAUAAAUAUUUGAGGAACAAAUAAAUGAUAGAGGAAUGGAAAGGAUUUAGUGACUUCUUUGGUUGGAAAAGGAGUCAGGAGGAGACCAAAAAAUCAAUCAUAAUUCUCAGAAUAUUGGCUUAUGUAACCAGUUACGUUGUUCUACCAUCCAUCUCAAUAGGGAACAUGAGAAAAUAAUAGAUGUUCUGGGUGAUUUGGGGGUGAUUGAGUUUAACUUUUGAUAUAUUGUGUGAGGUGCUUGUGGGACAUCCACGUGGAAAACUCUUAGUAACAACUUCACACAUGCAUCAGGAGCUUAGGUUAGGGAGGGGCCGGCAGUCGUCAUUGUUUGUAUUACAGGUAGAAACACAAUAGUGGCAACCUGUGGGGUCCAAGGAGGUCCCCCAAAGAGAAGAUGGGGCCUGUAACUCAUCUCAGGUAGGCUUGCCAAUUGCCAUCACAAAAAUAGCCUUUCAGGAAGCAUCAGUGGGAGGCAUGGCACAUUUAUUACAAAGAAUUAGAAAGCAAGAGAAAAUAGGGAAGAGGCUUCAGCUUGAGCAGCUCUGGGCAGCACAGCUCUGAUGAAAAGGGUCAGAGUGGCCUCUAAAUAAAGAACAAGACCAGCACUGAUGGGUUAGCAGAGGUGGGCUAGCAUCUAUUGAUAACCAUCUCCAUUUGGGCUCUGCCUGAUGGCUCCUGAAGUUCUUGAAGGGACCAUACAGUCUCCAUCAAAUAAUUGCUUCCCUUUGAGAAUAGCCUCAGUUUUCAGGAGGCUUUGCUGGGAUUUAAGUGACUGGAGGCUUAGCACAAUAAUUGGAGCCUUCUGGGACUCACUGGCAGUUGAGCAUCCCUGUCAAUAUCUUAUGUUGGUGUCCUCCGUCUGGCACAGGCUGAGAUUGGCUAUACGCAUUCUGGGCCAAUCAGUCUUAUCUUGCCAACUUCAGUCAGGCACUCCCCAAAUGAUUGACAUGCUUUUAUGUGGAGUUAAGGAGACAUUUGGCCCAAAAUCUAAAGGUAAUAAAGAAAAUAGAUGCAAAAUGAAGGUCAAGCUCCCUUCUGCUUUUAGUUACUUAUUGGGCAUCGAUAGGCCCAAGUUAAGAGUCCCUGGUUUUUUGUUUGUUUUUAGUAAAAAGAGUUUUUAAGUCUCUGACUGUUUCAGAAGAGAACAAAACUGUUUCAAUUAAGUGACAGAAUAAGGGUCUGGGAGUUUGUGCUCUGGCCCAACAGCGGACUCUGACUAUGCCAGGAGUACCUAAGAUCCUACGGAGAAUAUAGGAAGUGAGAUGGGAGGCAGGGGGAGCAGAGAAUUAUAGGGAAUCAAUAAUAAUGAAUGAAAUUGGCAGAGAAAGGUAGCUUCUUGCAGGAGAACCAGAAAAAUGCAGAAGACAUAUAGGGAAAUAGCAAUUAAAUCAGAAACAUCACAAUAGCGAACUUUCUUGUAUCUACAGAGAGUUUAAAAGUUGAGGUGACCUUCUCAAUAUUCUGUCACCGCAACAUCAAAACCGUUUAAGAGCCAAGAACCUUAAGUCAUGAUUCCUAUCUUUAGCAUCCCUAAAAUUUGACCUCACACCUUUGCUGGGACAAUUCCGGUGAAGCCAAGUCCACUAUUUUAUUAGGCAAAUAAUUUGUGACCCAAGAUAAAGAUAAAAUGUAUAUGGAGAAAAUUAAAUGAAAGUUGACUUAAUUUUUUCUAGUUUUUAUUUAGACUUCUAUAUAUAAAAAAACAAACUAACAUAAAAUGAUAUCCCAUCCAAGAAGAAGAAAUGAGGAGAAUCCAGUCCACACUCCAAGCCCCAGGGACAACUUUCAAAGUACAGGAUUCUGACUUAAUAAAGGGCCGAGAUCAGGCCAUCAAUAGUGAGUUAAACCUACCCUGAGAGAAUUAAAGAAAUGAAAAUGCAUUUAUAUGAUGGAGAGAAAGUGCCAGUAGGGACUAAGGAGACAACUUACUAAAUGAAAUUAAUGAUGACUCUAAAUUGGCUUCUCUCUCAAAUUCAUUUUAACAUCUGCCUUGAACAAAGAAAAUAAAACAGCAGUCUAGAUAAUUUAAAAAUAAUAAAGACAAAUUUUAAAAUUGGUAGUAAUGAUAACCUUCUGUGUGCUUAAAUAUACAUAACUUUGGAAAGCUGUAGCUCUGUAGUGAGGAUUAGCACAGAAUCCCCAUGGGUACAAUAUCCAAUAAGUGAGAAGUACUAGAAAGUCACACAUCACAUAUGUACCUGCAAGCCCAUCCCAAUAUGUGAAAUAGUAUCUUUUAAACUGUGCUCUCUAGUAUUUGACCCAAGUCCCAUUAACUAUUUAUAUUUAAUUUAAAAAUAAUUAACAUUAAAUAAAAACAAUAAUUCCAUUUCUCAGGUGUACUAGCCAUAUUUAAAGUGAUCCGAGAGCUAUAUGUGGCUAGUCAAUACUCCACUGGACAGUGCAGAUUAGAGAGCAUUCUUAUCAGUGUAGAAAGUUUUCCUGAAAUGCUCUGAUUCAAGUGAAGUCCUUUAUGUUGGACCUUCCUGAGGCUCCCAGUUUAAUGUUAGUAGUGUUAAGCCAUGAAAAUAAAUUAAUAGGUGGCCCAGAUCAACACAGGAGAUUUUUUUUUGUAAUUCACAAGGAUUGAUGGUAGCAAGGAGUAGUAAGUAAAGUGAAUCUAUUAUGUAGCAGACUUUGCAUAUGUUUAGGUUUAUUCCUGAAAGCCUCUGUUAAUAGAGUAGAUCAUUAACCUAUGGGCUUCUUGACUCCUCCUGCAGUUCCCUUCCUAACCUGUGUGACAGGAACAUAGGAGGACACUGGAGGCAAAAGUCAGGUACUCAGCACAUGGCAUCAUUUAGCACAAAACAGAAGAGAUGAUGCCAUGAAAACAGUUGGGAGCAUUAAUUGUAGAGUCCGGAGGGAGAGAAUAAUCAGACACCGGAGUCAGAAUUGACGAGGAAAUCAAAAGUACCCCCUCAAAUUGACGGACCAUCAAUUUUGUUUUAUCUAAAGCUCAUAAGAUAAUCUACCAAGUUUCAGGGGCCAGCCCUUGGUUUACAUGCUACUAGCUUUGAAUAUUGAACAUCCCACAGUGUACCUUCUUGAUAAUGUACUGUGAGAAUCCACGAUGAGCUGAUAUGACUUACCGAGGAGUAAGAACAUGAAAACCAGGGAGGGGUAGUCAAGAGAUCACUUGUAUGCAGAGGAGAAGACCACUGCUUUCCUUGAACUUCCUUUUUAUGAAGAAAAAUAAGAAUCCACAAUAAAAUGAGCAUGGACAAUGGUUGCUCAGACUCACUGCUUGGUGAAAUGAUUGAAACGUGACCUUCAAGGUCUUCUCGCAGGAAAGUUAUGAAUGACUUCAAGCUUUGUGCUGGGUCAUCAGUGCACUGAUGCCAUGCUUAGUCAAAUAAGUGACAAACAGUCAGGGCUAUAUGCUCUUAAUGACCACAUCUUAGCGGCCUUACAAGUUCUUAGUCAGCUUAGUAAGUAAAUGCACAGAGCAAAGUGUAAAUGCUUAUACAUGUGGCCGGUUGUAGCUAAAUAGAACAUAAUCUUUUUUUUUUUUUGGUACCGGGGAUCGAACUCAGGUCCUUGCACUGCGAGGCAGGCGCCAGAUCCACUGAGCUAAAUCCCCGGCCCUAUAACUUUAAUUUUAUCUUUAUGGAAAAGUCAGUAAAUACAUAAUACGUGAAUUACCUUAUCUGUUGCCAUAAUAAGCGAGGUGGUAACUGCCUAACUGUGGUACAGCUUCAUAACUGGCAAGCAAAUGCCCCUUUGCCAUACCUUUCGUACAUAUAAAUCAUUGCACAAAAUGCCUGCUAUGUGAGAGUCCUGGGUGUCAUGGGAGCAACGUGAGUGUGAGAGCCACACUCCCACUCAUUGUGAAUCCACUCAUUUGAUACCAACAUAUUGACACUCAGAGGAUGUUUCACCGACAAUAAGCUGGCUUUUUAUUUAAUGUUAAUACAGGUGGACAGUAAUAAAGAAAAUAUUUGAAAAACACUCUUCUUACUUCUAUGAAAACAGUAAAACAAAAUUUUGUAAAAAUAACUAGAGAAUAACACUAGUUAAUGUACUAUGUGCCAUAAUCUUAAAAGAAUGGCCAAAAUCUUACUCAGAGUACAAAUGGUAGACCAAAACUACUGUGUUACAUACAAGAAACAAAUACGUAAUAGCACAGAAGUUUCUUUGCAAUGAACUAAGAGAAACUAGUAGUACAAAUGAAAUAAAUUAGCAUAUAUAUUAAAUGUGAUAUUUAUACACAGUGGAGUACUACUCUGCCACAAAGAAAGAUAAACUUGAGGCAUUUGUAAACAAAAAGAUCCAACUUGAGAACAUAAUGCUAAGUGAAUAAGUCAGACACACAAGGUUAAAUAUUGCUUAUAUAUGAGAAAUAUGUGUAGGGAGCCACGGCCUGUAGGUCUGUAUCUGGUCCCUUGCCCAUUCUUCUCUGAAGCUCUUCCCCUGCUCUGUUUCUUGAUGCCAUGACCUAAGAAGCUUUUCUGCAUCACAUCCUUCUGCCGUGAUGUCAGUGCCUUAAAGCCAGUGAUGAGCUCAAAUCAGGAGUGAAUUACACCUCUCUGCUUUUACCUCGUGGAUGCUGGGCAUUGUGUCUCAGCAAGGAGAAGGCUGACUAAUAGAAUUAGCAUUACCUCUGUGAGGGGCUGGAAAUUUGAAUGUUUUGUUCACCACUGUAUGCCACCAGGGAUUGUAGCCCCUAAUGAGUAUCCAAUAAAUGUUUCUGGUAUUGAGUAGAUGCAAGAGGAAGGCACUUUGCAUGCCAUGUUCAGAGCAAGGGUGGCUCGUCUGCUUUCCAGUGCCUGCCAUCAAACCUGCAAAUGGCCGAUGACCCUCACAGUGAGAAUUGCUAGAGGGGGAGAACAGCUUUGAUGAAGCAAACUAUAUAUACCCACUUUUCUAUGUGUAUAGGGAAAAAAUAACUUGAAAGUUAGCACUGACCAAUCUCAUUUUAAGUAUCGGUGAGGAGAAAUUGAAUAAAUAUGAAAAUGAUGAAAUUAUUACUAAUGGAUGCUAAAGAAUUGUGAAGAAAACGUGCUCCAUGGAUCUGUGCCCCUCUCCCAGCAGCUGCUAGAUGAGCUCUUGAGCAGAUUCAUAGCUGGUCAUGAAGGGUUUAGGGUGUUGUAACUCAUCAUCAUCGAAUGUCUCCUUCCUUGCAAUAUGUGUGCAUCCCAGAUCAUAGAGCAGCUGCUCACCGGUGCCUUCCUGGCUUCUUUGUCUUACUCUGAGCUUUACUUUUCUUCAUGGCACCGAGCACUUCUUGAAGGAUGCUAUUUUGUGUUUGCUUACUCAUUGUUUAUCUGUCUCCUUCAGGGACAAGUAAGCUCUAUUAAGCCAAGGACUUUGCCAUAGUCUCUAUUUUCUCAGCACCUUGAUAAGGACUGACAGAAAGCAGACACGAGGUGUGAAAGGAAAAUGAGUUAAUAAACAUCUUUCUCUUUGGGGAGAGGGCGGGGAAAGGGGAGGCGCAGAUGGCCAAAGAAGGCCUCCGCCUUGGUGUGCCUCUCCACUGCUUACGCCAGCAAAGUCAAAGCAUGCCUGAGGAAUUGAAGCUCUUUCAUGGUUUUAUUCAACAAAAGCUCACAGAUGUGCACAGGACUGGAGGACAGUGACACACACGUGGUUUCAGCUUAGAAUUCAGCAAGGGGGAAAGGUCAAAUUAAGAACAACAGCUCUAGUCAGGUCAGGCAGUCAGGCCAAGCAAUCGCUAAAGAUUGUUGUGAGUUCCAAAACUGUGCCAAGCAGGGCCUGCCUUCCAGGGUUGAAGUGGCCAGGAAGGCUGUGUUGGGAAAGACAAACUAUACCCUACUUAUUUACUCUUCAGUGAACGUAUUCUUCCCAAAACACUGGCUUUGGCAGCCAUACCAACUAGCAUCAUUCUUCUAGUCUUCAUUUAUUAAAGCACAUCUCACCUCCACCUCAGACAUUUAACAUUUACUUAUAUGUACUUUUCUUUGGGAGCCUCGCUUAAUGAAUUCUUUCUUUCCCUAAACAUAUGCAUUCAGUCGAAAGGUAUUCACUGUAUGUGCAGACCCUACGCAGAAUAUGAGUUGUCUUGAGUCUGUAGUACAACAAGUGUGCAGACUUAACCAUAAUAUCGGUCAACCAUAGGAAUUAUAACAAAGCCCUGUAGGAAGAGAGAGGAGAGGGUGACUUCUUUUCUUUGAAAGACCAGAUGAACAAGUGCCAAAUGUGUGAAAGGUGAGUCAGGUUUUAUCCGGUGGUGAAGGGGGAUAUUGUCAUGGGAAAAAAAUGCAGUGAACAGAAAUAUGAAACAGUGUGAUGCACAGUGGAAAUCGUUAGUGAUGCUGACCUGAGGUGUACUGAGUUCUGGGAGGCUGGACUGGAGGUAUGCCUUUGUAAUUUAAGAAGAUCUUUGGAUCUUUUUCUAAGGAGUUUAAACUUCAUGCUGCAGGCGUGUGGGAGAUACAGUUUAAAAGGGGAGGCGAGAAAAUAAUUCUGUAUUUGAACAAUAAUUGCAGGAGAGGAGUGAGGUAGGAAGUGAUUAAAUGGUCACACCAGGGAUGACAACUUUCACAACAUUUUUAAAUGAUUGUGCAAAAUGUUCUGGUGUAGAAACCCAAAAGCUAUUUUAGGGAGUAGAAUUUUAAAUGACUGUAAUCUUUAGGUCAAGUUCCUUAAUCUCUUUUAAGACCAGCCUUAUUUUACUUUUGCUAUGAUUUUGAAGGGUUUUUAAAGCACUUUUAAGUUUGUUAAAAUAUUUGCCAGUUAUGCUCAAUUUUAAAUUUUAUGCUUGCUGGGUCAUAAUUCUUAAAAUUAUUAUAGUAAUAAGGAUGUAAUGGUAUAAAGAGAAGAUAGAACAUUAACUCAAUUUGAAAGUUUUCCAUAUACCAGGUGCUAGAAGAAACUCUUAUUUUUUACAAAGACCCUAAGAAGGUGCUGUCAUUUCCAUCUUGCAGUUAUGGAACUUAGGACAAACCAUUCAAGGGAAUAGCCCAAUAUCCCACAGUUAUGUGGUGGCAGAGGUGCUGGCCCAUAUUUCAUUGGCCUCUAGAACCCAUUUAUUUCCAUUGCACCACUAUAAAUAUAUAUAUAUUUGUAAUAUUUGUAUACUCAUUAUAUAUAUUUAUUUAUAUUUAUUUAUAUAUUUUUUGUUUUCUGAGACAGGGUCUCACUAUGUAGUUUAGGCUGGCCUUGAACUCACCAAGUAGUCCUCCUGCCUCAGCCUCCUGAGUUCUGGAAAGCAUUUUUCAGCAGUAACUCCCCAAGACAAGAAGUCCCAGUCAUACGCUUGGAGCUGCUGCCCUAGCCUGAGCAGUACCGAGUGGAUGGACCUGUGGGAGAGAUGCCCAGAAGCCAGCAGAACCAGCUCCUGGGACCUGGGUGUCGCUUUGAGAGAGAAAGCCCAUGCAAGGACACAGAAAGUGGCCACCUAUCAGCAAUCAAGAGAGACCUGUCCAGAAAACAAACCUGGAAUCAUCUUGAUCUUGGACUUCUAGCAUCCAGAACUGUCACAAAAUAAAUAUCUAAGCUUUAAACCACUGCAUUUGUCGCAUUUUGCUGGAAGAAUAACCCAACACACAGCCAUCUACCAGGACGAUUGUAGUAGUUACAUCUCCAGGGAAAACACUACCAUAGACAUCAUGUAGGAAUUUCCAAGAUAGAAUUUCCUGAAUGGCUCAGGAAGGCUUCUGAGAGGGAGGAACAAUGGAACUGAGUCUGAAUGGUGAGAAGAAACUAGUCAAAGAGAAAGCCACGCUCAGUGGAGAAUUAAAGUAUUCUAGGAAAUGGACUCUAGAUGCCCAGUGCAGAGGCAGACAGAACAGUGCGGGUUAUAGGUAGGGUCAUAGGCCGAGGGGUGGGAGGCGGAGCUGAGGAUCGGGCUCUGGACCUGCCAGGGGUCCUAAGGGGGCUUCACACUCCUUGCCAAAGAUUCUCUGUUUCAGAAGGAUAAUUUUGUAAUUGUUGUGGACAUGUUCUUUGAAAUCCAUUUUAUUUCUAACACUACCAUUUAAUAUUUGGUUUUAUUGGCCACGUUCAUUGAUUACUCUUUGUUGUUGUUUGGUUUUUUUGAGAAAUGGUUUACUGUGCUAUCCAGGCUGGCUCUGAACUUGAGAUUCUCCUGCCUCGGCUUCCCAAGUAGCUGGAACUACAGAUGUAUACAACUGCACCAGGCCCUUCCCAAGUCAAUAUCAUUUUACUUUCUGCUGGAAUGUGCAUAAUAGCCC
rnacentral:lncRNA from 1 species